UGGGGAAUUUUGCGCAAUGGGCGGAAGCCUGACGCAGUAACGCCGCGUGGAGGAUGAAGGCCUUCGGGUUGUAAACUCCUGUCAGGAGGAACGACGGGGAAAAAGGGAUAAGCUUUUUCCUCCAGACGGUACCUCCAAAGGAAGCCCCGGCUAAUUCCGUGCCAGCAGCCGCGGUAAUACGGAAGGGGCAAGCGUUGUUCGGAAUCAUUGGGCGUAAAGGGCGCGUAGGUGGUUCUGUAUGUCUACCGUGAAAGCGUACGGCUCAACCGUAUUUAGUCGGUAGAAACUGCAGGACUUGAGGCUGGGAGGGGCUGGUGGAAUUCCCUGUGUAGCGGUGAAAUGCGUAGAGAUGGGGGAGAACACUCGUGGCGAAGGCGGCCAGCUAGACCAGUUCUGACACUGAGGCGCGACAGCGUGGGGAGCAAACAGGAUUAGAUACCCUGGUAGUCCACGCUGUAAACGAUGGGCACUAGGUGCCGGCGGUCUUGAUCCCGUCGGUGCCGGCGCUAACGCAGUAAGUGCCCCGCCUGGGGAGUACGGUCGCAAGGCUGC
rnacentral:rRNA from 1 species